UUAAGUCUAGUUAAUAAGAUAAACGCUUUUGAAAACCCUGCUAAUCAUCUUUCUGGCAUUAGGAAACAGUCGUAGAGAGAGAGAGAGAGAGAGAGAGAGAGAGAGAGAGAGAGUAGAAGCAUGUUAGUUAAUCCUAUCCUGCGCUGGUUCGUGAGUUUACUGCGGUGACGGGGUGCAGCAGUGAGUGAAAUUUCGAAUCAUAAUCACGUAGGGAGUGUUCACUGGGGAAACGUCAGUGACGGUAUUUAUAUUAUUUGAAUUAUUACUUGAUAACGUGUCAACUUUUGCGUGUGUGUGUGUGUGUGUGUGUGUUGGUGGAGGAGCAGAGUCAGGUGGCGCUUGGCAGGGCGAGCGGCUGGCUGCAGUGUUUUGGCCGGCGCUGGUCAGUCUUGCCCCACACACUCUGGUAAUAAGUGUUUCCGUAUUCCCGGCUUCUUCUCCCUGUACCAAGCACCGCCACGCAUCCCCAGAGAGCCACAAGUAUGUAAGUGUGCAGAGCUUGGAAUACCACACGGAGGGGGGUGAAGGAGCCUUGGGAAUCCCUGAAGGAGGGAGAGCGAAGGAGGGAGGCUUGGAGGUGAAGGAAAUGCAGAAAAUUCUUCUAAUAUUGAACGCUUCUCUGCUCAGACCAUCCUUCAUUGAAUAUUUGAGCUGAGGCUUCGAGAUACGAGUGUGCAGAGCUUGGGAUACCACACGGAGGGGGGUGAAGGAGCCUUGGGGAUGCCUGAAGGAGGGAGGCUUGGAGGUGAAGAAAAUGCAGAAAAUUCCUCUAAUACUGAAUGCUUCUCUGCUCAGACCUUCCUUCAUUGAAUAUUUGAGCUGAGGCUUCGAGAUACGAGGGUGCAGAGCUUGGGAUACCACACGGAGGGGGUGAAGGAGCCUUGGGGAUGCCUGAAGUAGGGGCAGUGAAGGAGGGAGGCCUGGAGGUGAAGGAAAUGCAGAAAAUUCCUUCAAUACUGAGCGCUUCUCUGGUUAGACUUCACUGAAUAUUUCGACUGAGGCUUCGAGAUACGAGAUGAGAAUUAUUUUUUUAGUGUUUGAAGGCAGUUUUACGUGGUUAUAGGUGUUUUUAGGCUGCUUUAAUGUUGUUAUGAGUAUUUUAGGUUUGUUGAAGGAAGGAGAAAGCUUAAAUACAGUUAUAACGCCGAAAAAAAGGCUUAAAUUGAGAGUUUUUAAGUCAGCCUAGCGUUUAUUAAAGUGUUUUAAGUAUUUUAAGUUACCAGAAGAGAGGAAGCUUAAAUUUAAUAUUACGAUUAGGAAAAAGCUUAUUUCAUGCGUUAGGAAGAAAGAAAAGGUUAACAUUAUUGACACUUUAUCAAUUUCUUUCGAUUUUAUAUUCAGUUUAUUUAUUGAUCGUUAUCUUUUAAUUUCAUUUCUUUAUUUUCUUUAUUUUUCGCUCGUUUUCAUAAUAGGAGUGUUUAAUUUUAUAUAUAUUUUUCAUUUUCUUUUCACUUCUUGGACUUAAUAUCCAGUUUAUUUAUUUAUUAUUACUUGUAAGUGUGUCUAAACACUUGCAAAGAUAAUUUAUUUAUUUAUUUAUUGAUUUUUAUUUUCAGUCAGUUUGUUUUUUUGUAAUGAAAACUUGUUAUUUGAUCUAUAUUCCCUUUUUCUGUUACUUGUUCGUGCCAGAGGUGACAAUAAACAUUAAAAUUA